GUUUGACAUCUGAAAAUGUCCAUACGUCAAAGUACGAUCGGACUGAUUGGUGUCCAGUGAAGUACAUACGACCCACCGUUGUAAACAAAAAUAGAGAAUUUCAAAGAAUUUCUGAAGUUUUCUGCAUGAAGGAACAUUCAUAAGGCAUCAUUAGUACUUCUGCAGUAAUGCUAAAGGCCGAAAAUUAAACCAAAGUUGAACGAAGAGUGCAAAUUGUCACGGAGUGGAUCUUUAAACCUUUCCCUAAGGUCUUCCAAACAAUCGGAAACGCUGUAACUUGAUUUCCUAGGAAACGAUACAGCACCAAGUGUUGCUCUGCUGUUUGCCAACAUCUCAGUAUAAAUUUUAUUUGCAACGAUAUAACAUAUACAAUGAAUCCAUUAUCCAUCCGACAAACCCAUCCAUAAUCGCUUCCGUUGCAUUUUUUCUACAGUAGACAUUCAGCGCAGAUGGGGAUUUGCUCUGAGCAACAUCGCUGAUCGCAUAAAUCGUUUGCCAACUUCACGAAAUACAUACCUUCAUGCAGAAAACUUCAGAAAUUCUUUGAAAUUCUCUAUUUUUGUUUACAACGGUGGGUCGUAUGUACUUCACUGGACACCAAUCAGUCCGAUCGUACUUUGACGUAUGGACAUUUUCUGAUGUCAAACGUCUGAACGUACCCGUCCGAAGUGCAGCGGUGACUAGCGUUAGGUCGUAUCGAUUAGGUCGAAUGAACAACAAACAAUGUUAUAUCGACGGAAAGCUUUUUUAUGAUCAUAAAUCAAUAAAUUGAGUGUAUUUUCA